AGUGAACGCUGGCGGUAGGCCUAACACAUGCAAGUCGAACGGCAGCACAGUAAGAGCUUGCUCUUACGGGUGGCGAGUGGCGGACGGGUGAGGAAUACAUCGGAAUCUACUUUUUCGUGGGGGAUAACGUAGGGAAACUUACGCUAAUACCGCAUACGACCUACGGGUGAAAGCAGGGGAUCUUCGGACCUUGCGCGAUUGAAUGAGCCGAUGUCGGAUUAGCUAGUUGGCGGGGUAAAGGCCCACCAAGGCGACGAUCCGUAGCUGGUCUGAGAGGAUGAUCAGCCAGACUGGAACUGAGACACGGUCCAGACUCCUACGGGAGGCAGCAGUGGGGAAUAUUGGACAAUGGGGGCAAGCCUGAUCCAGCCAUACCGCGUGGGUGAAGAAGGCCUUCGGGUUGUAAAGCCCUGUUGUUGGGAAAGAAAAGCAGCAGGUUAAUACCCCGCUGUUCUGACGGUACCCAAAGAAUAAGCACCGGCUAACUUCGUG
rnacentral:rRNA from 1 species